GGGUCCGGGUCCGGGUCUUCAAUAUAACAACAACAGCUAUUACGCGAGGCAGAGCCGUCAACCGUUGAGUAUGAUGGGUCAGUAUGAUGAUUUUUAUGAGCGGAGAAGUGAGAAAGGCGCGAUGAGUGCUUCUCAGAGUCCUAUUCGCCUCAGCCCCCGAUAUGGUCCCACCGGCUUCAGGCCGUGGGAUGCUCCCGUCGCAGUUGCCGAAAUUUCACACUUUUGAACCAGGCGUGUAUGUAUGUAGCUGAAAGAAGUGUAAAUUACAAC